AUCUAUGCGGUUGACGGCUGGUCGAGAUUGUAUCACCCUGAUUUCAUGUUCAAUAUCAGCUUGCUCUUGCUCCAGUCUCUGUUGCCUUCGUCUGUAUAACAAAAAUAUAAUCAAUGUCAAAACAUGCAGUCAACAUCUCAGAAACAUAACACGUACAUAUAAGGUCAUUUUUCUCAUUGACAAGUUCACAAAGUUGUAUAACGAGAUCUUCUAUUUCUUCUUGCGGCGCUGUCGGCCCGUCGUCACCUGCACACAGCGCUCAUUAUAUUUUAUUGCAAACAAAACAUAUGGAAAUUUAUUAGGAAAUACUGUGUGAUAGCACUGUGCAGCAUAGUAAUGUGCCGUGGAGAUUUUUAUUUCCCUUAAUAUAUUAUUUACACAAGUAAAUUAAUAGACUUUUUAUGCAAGAUUUACAUGAGGGUAUAGCAGAAUCAGUCACAUACAAAAAAAUAUUUAGGGUUGUGUAAA